rnacentral:rRNA from 1 species
AUUGAACGCUGGCGGCAUGCCUUACACAUGCAAGUCGAACGGUAACAGGUCUUCGGAUGCUGACGAGUGGCGAACGGGUGAGUAAUACAUCGGAACGUGCCCGAGAGUGGGGGAUAACGAAGCGAAAGCUUUGCUAAUACCGCAUACGAUCUCAGGAUGAAAGCAGGGGACCGCAAGGCCUUGCGCUCACGGAGCGGCCGAUGGCAGAUUAGGUAGAUGGUGGGAUAAAAGCUUACCAAGCCGACGAUCUGUAGCUGGUCUGAGAGGACGACCAGCCACACUGGGACUGAGACACGGCCCAGACUCCUACGGGAGGCAGCAGUGGGGAAUUUUGGACAAUGGGCGCAAGCCUGAUCCAGCCAUGCCGCGUGCAGGAUGAAGGCCUUCGGGUUGUAAACUGCUUUUGUACGGAACGAAAAGACUCCUUCUAAUAAAGGGGGUCCAUGACGGUACCGUAAGAAUAAGCACCGGCUAACUACGUGCCAGCAGCCGCCGCCGUAA